rnacentral:misc_RNA from 1 species
GAUGAAGAACGUAGCGAAAUGCGAUAAGUAAUGCGAAUUGCAGAAUUCAGUGAAUCAUCGAGUCUUUGAACGCACAUUGCGCCCCCUGGUAUUCCGGGGGGCAUGCCUGUCCGAGCGUCAUUGCUGCCCUCAAGCACGGCUUGUGUGUUGGGCCGUCGUCCCCCUCCUAGGGGACGGGCCCGAAAGGCAGCGGCGGCACCGCGUCCGGUCCUCGAGCGUAUGGGGCUUCGUCACCCGCUCCGUAGGCCCGGCCGGCGCUUGCCGACGACCAUCAAUCUCUUUCUCCAGGUUGACCUCGGAUCAGGUAGGGAUACCCGCUGAACUUAAGCAUAUCAAUAAGCGGAGGA